rnacentral:rRNA from 1 species
GAUGAACGCUAGCGGGAGGCCUAACACAUGCAAGCCGAGCGGUAGAGUCUCUUCGGAGACUUGAGAGCGGCGCACGGGUGCGGAACACGUGUGCAACCUGCCUUUAUCUGGGGGAUAGCCUUUCGAAGGGAAGAUUAAUACCCCAUAAUAUACUGGAUGGCAUCAUCUGGUAUUGAAAACUCCGGUGGAUAGAGAUGGGCACGCGCAAGAUUAGAUAGUUGGUGAGGUAACGGCUCACCAAGUCAGCGAUCUUUAGGGGGCCUGAGAGGGUGAUCCCCCACACUGGUACUGAGACACGGACCAGACUCCUACGGGAGGCAGCAGUGAGGAAUAUUGGACAAUGGGUGAGAGCCUGAUCCAGCCAUCCCGCGUGAAGGACGACGGCCCUAUGGGUUGUAAACUUCUUUUGUAUAGGGAUAAACCUAGAUACGUGUAUCUAGCUGAAGGUACUAUACGAAUAAGCACCGGCUAACACCGUG